UUAAGCGACUAAGCGUACACGGUGGAUGCCCUGGCAGUCAGAGGCGAUGAAGGACGUGCUAAUCUGCGAUAAGCGUCGGUGAGGUGAUAUGAACCGUUAUAACCGGCGAUUUCCGAAUGGGGAAACCCAGUGUGUUUCGACACACUAUCAUUAACUGAAUCCAUAGGUUAAUGAGGCGAACCGGGGGAACUGAAACAUCUAAGUACCCCGAGGAAAAGAAAUCAACCGAGAUUCCCCCAGUAGCGGCGAGCGAACGGGGAGGAGCCCAGAGCCUGAAUCAGUGUGUGUGUUAGUGGAAGCGUCUGGAAAGGCGUGCGAUACAGGGUGACAGCCCCGUACACAAAAAUGCACAUAUUGUGAGCUCGAUGAGUAGGGCGGGACACGUGGUAUCCUGUCUGAAUAUGGGGGGACCAUCCUCCAAGGCUAAAUACUCCUGACUGACCGAUAGUGAACCAGUACCGUGAGGGAAAGGCGAAAAGAACCCCGGCGAGGGGAGUGAAAAAGAACCUGAAACCGUGUACGUACAAGCAGUGGGAGCCUCUUAAUGGGGUGACUGCGUACCUUUUGUAUAAUGGGUCAGCGACUUAUAUUCUGUAGCAAGGUUAACCGAAUAGGGGAGCCGAAGGGAAACCGAGUCUUAACUGGGCGUUAAGUUGCAGGGUAUAGACCCGAAACCCGGUGAUCUAGCCAUGGGCAGGUUGAAGGUUGGGUAACACUAACUGGAGGACCGAACCGACUAAUGUUGAAAAAUUAGCGGAUGACUUGUGGCUGGGGGUGAAAGGCCAAUCAAACCGGGAGAUAGCUGGUUCUCCCCGAAAGCUAUUUAGGUAGCGCCUCGUGAAUUCAUCUCCGGGGGUAGAGCACUGUUUCGGCAAGGGGGUCAUCCCGACUUACCAACCCGAUGCAAACUGCGAAUACCGGAGAAUGUUAUCACGGGAGACACACGGCGGGUGCUAACGUCCGUCGUGAAGAGGGAAACAACCCAGACCGCCAGCUAAGGUCCCAAAGUCAUGGUUAAGUGGGAAACGAUGUGGGAAGGCCCAGACAGCCAGGAUGUUGGCUUAGAAGCAGCCAUCAUUUAAAGAAAGCGUAAUAGCUCACUGGUCGAGUCGGCCUGCGCGGAAGAUGUAACGGGGCUAAACCAUGCACCGAAGCUGCGGCAGCGACACUAUGUGUUGUUGGGUAGGGGAGCGUUCUGUAAGCCUGUGAAGGUGGCCUGUGAGGGUUGCUGGAGGUAUCAGAAGUGCGAAUGCUGACAUAAGUAACGAUAAAGCGGGUGAAAAGCCCGCUCGCCGGAAGACCAAGGGUUCCUGUCCAACGUUAAUCGGGGCAGGGUGAGUCGACCCCUAAGGCGAGGCCGAAAGGCGUAGUCGAUGGGAAACAGGUUAAUAUUCCUGUACUUGGUGUUACUGCGAAGGGGGGACGGAGAAGGCUAUGUUGGUCGGGCGACGGUUGUCCCGGUUUAAGCGUGUAGGCUGGUUUUCCAGGCAAAUCCGGAAAAUCAAGGCUGAGGCGUGAUGACGAGGCACUACGGUGCUGAAGCGACAAAUGCCCUGCUUCCAGGAAAAGCCUCUAAGCAUCAGGUAACAUCAAAUCGUACCCCAAACCGACACAGGUGGUCAGGUAGAGAAUACCAAGGCGCUUGAGAGAACUCGGGUGAAGGAACUAGGCAAAAUGGUGCCGUAACUUCGGGAGAAGGCACGCUGAUAUGUAGGUGAAGCGACUUGCUCGUGGAGCUGAAAUCAGUCGAAGAUACCAGCUGGCUGCAACUGUUUAUUAAAAACACAGCACUGUGCAAACACGAAAGUGGACGUAUACGGUGUGACGCCUGCCCGGUGCCGGAAGGUUAAUUGAUGGGGUUAGCGGCAACGCGAAGCUCUUGAUCGAAGCCCCGGUAAACGGCGGCCGUAACUAUAACGGUCCUAAGGUAGCGAAAUUCCUUGUCGGGUAAGUUCCGACCUGCACGAAUGGCGUAAUGAUGGCCAGGCUGUCUCCACCCGAGACUCAGUGAAAUUGAACUCGCUGUGAAGAUGCAGUGUACCCGCGGCAAGACGGAAAGACCCCGUGAACCUUUACUAUAGCUUGACACUGAACAUUGAGCCUUGAUGUGUAGGAUAGGUGGGAGGCUUUGAAGUGUGGACGCCAGUCUGCAUGGAGCCGACCUUGAAAUACCACCCUUUAAUGUUUGAUGUUCUAACGUGGGCCCGUAAUCCGGGUUGCGGACAGUGUCUGGUGGGUAGUUUGACUGGGGCGGUCUCCUCCUAAAGAGUAACGGAGGAGCACGAAGGUUGGCUAAUCCUGGUCGGACAUCAGGAGGUUAGUGCAAUGGCAUAAGCCAGCUUGACUGCGAGCGUGACGGCGCGAGCAGGUGCGAAAGCAGGUCAUAGUGAUCCGGUGGUUCUGAAUGGAAGGGCCAUCGCUCAACGGAUAAAAGGUACUCCGGGGAUAACAGGCUGAUACCGCCCAAGAGUUCAUAUCGACGGCGGUGUUUGGCACCUCGAUGUCGGCUCAUCACAUCCUGGGGCUGAAGUAGGUCCCAAGGGUAUGGCUGUUCGCCAUUUAAAGUGGUACGCGAGCUGGGUUUAGAACGUCGUGAGACAGUUCGGUCCCUAUCUGCCGUGGGCGCUGGAGAACUGAGGGGGGCUGCUCCUAGUACGAGAGGACCGGAGUGGACGCAUCACUGGUGUUCGGGUUGUCAUGCCAAUGGCACUGCCCGGUAGCUAAAUGCGGAAGAGAUAAGUGCUGAAAGCAUCUAAGCACGAAACUUGCCCCGAGAUGAGUUCUCCCUGACUCCUUGAGAGUCCUGAAGGAACGUUGAAGACGACGACGUUGAUAGGCCGGGUGUGUAAGCGCAGCGAUGCGUUGAGCUAACCGGUACUAAUGAACCGUGAGGCUUAACCUU
rnacentral:rRNA from 1 species